GACGAACGCUGGCGGCGUGCUUAACACAUGCAAGUCGAACGGAAAGGCCCUGCUUUUGUGGGGUGCUCGAGUGGCGAACGGGUGAGUAACACGUGAGUAACCUGCCCUUGACUUGGGGAUAACUUCAGGAAACUGGGGCUAAUACCGGAUAGGAGCUCCUGCUGCAUGGUGGGGGUUGGAAAGGUUCGGCGGUUGGGGAUGGACUCGCGGCUUAUCAGCUUGUUGGUGGGGUAGUGGCUUACCAAGGCUUUGACGGGUAGCCGGCCUGAGAGGGUGACCGGCCACAUUGGGACUGAGGUGCGGCCCAGACUCCUACGGGAGGCAGCAGUGGGGACUAUUGCACAAUGGGCGGAAGCCUGAUGCAGCAACGCCGCGUGCGGGAUGACGGCCUUCGGGUUGUAAACCGCUUUCGCCUGUGACGAAGCGUGAGUGACGGUAAUGGGUAAAGAAGCACCGGCUAACUACGU
rnacentral:rRNA from 1 species